UAGGGAAUCUUCCACAAUGGGCGAAAGCCUGAUGGAGCAACGCCGCGUGUGUGAUGAAGGUUUUCGGAUCGUAAAACUCUGUUGGUAGAGAAGAACGUUGGUGAGAGUGGAAAGCUCAUCAAGUGACGGUAACUACCCAGAAAGGGACGGCUAACUACGUGACCAG
rnacentral:rRNA from 1 species